AUUGAACGCUGGCGGCAGGCCUAACACAUGCAAGUCGAGCGGAUGAAGGGAGCUUGCUCCUGGAUUCAGCGGCGGACGGGCGAGUAAUGCCUAGGAAUCUGCCUGGUAUUGGGGGAUAACGUCCGGAAACGGGCGCUAAUACCGCAUACGUCCUGAUGGAGAAAGUGGGGGAUCUUCGGACCUCACGCUAUCAGAUGAGCCUAGGUCGGAUUAGCUAGUUGGUGGGGUAAAGGCCUACCAAGGCGACGAUCCGUAACUGGUCUGAGAGGAUGAUCAGUCACACUGGAACUGAGACACGGUCCAGACUCCUACGGGAGGCAGCAGUGGGGAAUAUUGGACAAUGGGCGAAAGCCUGAUCCAGCCAUGCCGCGUGUGUGAAGAAGGUCUUCGGAUUGUAAAGCACUUUAAGUUGGGAGGAAGGGCAGUAAGUUAAUACCUUGCUGUUUUGACGUUACCAAAAGAAUAAGCACCGGCUAACUUCGUG
rnacentral:rRNA from 1 species